GAAACAGUUGCUUCAUUUAGCCUCAGUGCUCGGGUUAUUGUUCGCUUGGAAAUAUUGAACAGAGUGUUUGAAGCCUCGUAGCCAUCGGAGGAGCAGAACCAUCCGUCUGUUGUGCUUUGGAUACAAAUGGCCUGAUAUCCCUUGAAGUCAAACCUCCAGAAUAAACUGCAUUCAGCUGACCAAGUGAACAAGGAAUACUUUCAUCUGUCAGUGCAAGUGCGUGAUACUGCAUCAUACGACGACAUCCCCAAGAGAGCCUGUUUGCCCUCGCCUAAGCAGUAACUGCCAAAGAGGUGAAGCUGAGGGCUCCAUAUCCCAUGGCUCCAGUGGGGAAUUAGGACAUCACGAGCUACAAACGCU